rnacentral:rRNA from 1 species
UACGAGGGGGGCGAGCGUUGUCCGGAAUCAUUGGGCGUAAAGCGCGUGUAGGCGGCCAGGUAAGUCCGUUCUGAAAGCCCGGGGCUCAACCCCGGGAGGCGGAUGGAUACUGCUUGGCUCGAGUCCGGAAGAGGCGAGUGGAAUUCCCGGUGUAGCGGUGAAAUGCGCAGAUAUCGGGAGGAACACCAAUGGCGAAGGCAGCUCGCUGGGACGGUACUGACGAUGAGACGCGAAAGCGUGGGGAGCAAACAGG